UACGUAGGUGGCAAGCGUUGUCCGGAUUUAUUGGGUUUAAAGGGUGCGUAGGCGGUCUUAUAAGUCAGUGCUGAAAUAUCCCGGCUUAACCGGGAGGGUGGCAUUGAUACUGUAGGACUUGAGUAGAGUUGAGGUUGGCGGAAUUGACAGUGUAGCGGUGAAAUGCUUAGAUAUCGUCAAGAACACCGAUAGUGAAGACAGCUAACUAAGCUCAAACUGACGCUGAGGCACGAAAGUGUGGGGAUCAAACAGG
rnacentral:rRNA from 1 species